rnacentral:lncRNA from 1 species
GUGUGUGAAACUUACAGGCAGUUCUAUCUCGUAAGCUCCUGGAGAUACUGUUGGCUUUGUUGGGCAGCACCAUACAGAAUUUUUUCUAGCAUACUGGAGAGAAUUGCACAUCUGCUCCCUACUCCGUAGAGGCCAAUAUGGGACUUGAUAGCAGAGGAAUCUCUGUGGGAGUCCAGCUGCUGAGCAAGGCAGGGAAAUUGAAGUUCACUCAUCCAAACCACUCUAACUACAGCAAUUGUGGCACAGCUCUUUAUGGGAAGGCAAGGGAAUGAAAGAACAGCUAAAAACAUUUAAUUCCUCAGGGCUGCACAGGCCUGUGGAAAAUCUCAGCCUUGGGACUGAGAAAAGAGAACAAACCUGAACUCUCUUCCCCAUCAUCAGUAGAAAAACAACUUUGUAAUUCAAAGAUUUUGCUGUUUUAUUGUCAACAGAUUAGAAAGGCAGAGUGAUAUUCCCACUUGUGUCGGGUCGGAUUGCAAUUCAACAUUAAAAUAGAUUUAUAGACAGACAAUCCUAUUUGUGGCAAUUUCUGAACUUUCCUUGACAAAACCAAGGAAAAGUGAUCUAUAAAUCAUCGUGUUACAGAUGUCUAAUGUUAUCCCAGUUGGUUUUAGGAACAGAAAAGGUAUAUUUGUUUCUUCAUUUCCCCACGCUUAUCCUUAAAAUGCAGCUUUGGUUUUAUCUUCGUUAAACAGAAAUGACCUUUCUGUCAGUAGCUUGGCUGAUAACGUUGUGCAAGCCUUUGGCGAUGACUGCGCGCAGUGGGGAUCAUGUUGGAUAUGUGCAGAUCCAUUCUUUCAAAACAAGAAUAGAAACAUAGUUGCACAUUUUUGUGGCCCCAUGUAAAAUUGAAAAUUUUUCAGGUAUUGACAGAAGAAGGAAACCAUUUCCAUCUAAAACUCCUAUUAAAAGCAAGAGGCACUAAAUUCUGCACAUGCUUUUCAUGCUGGCAUAUUAAUGUGUUUUCUGGCCAGUGGCAGUUCUUAGUCUCAGUAGAAGCUCAUAAUUGGAGUUUGCUAUGCUUUUUCUUGGGUGCAAUAAAUUUUUUUGUUUUGGCAAUGUUAUUUCCUCUUUUGCAAGUGGUGAUUUCAUUUUCUC